ACUUAAACGUGAGCAUUCUAUUAGAGGAGCACAUGAGACACUGGAUACACGUUCUAGAACAGAUAUUCCUAAUUCAGGAGCUGAUUGCAGAAAAAAGAAUGCCCAUUUCUGAACUCAGCUGAGAGCAAUCAGUGCUAAUCCACCACGUGUACCAGCUUCCCGCGGAUGCCGAAGUGGUCCCAGAAUCCUCUGUCCGCAGGCGCCAUCAGGGUUUCUCUCCCGAACUCCGUGGGUCUCCGCUCCUCGUCACGCUUCUCGCCCUCACAGGGAGACAAGGAGACAAAUAAAGAAAAGUUCCUCAGGCAUUGUCUAGCUUUGCAUCAAGUCAAUUUCCAGGAGGGCUGAAUCUUAAAUUUGAAGAUGCUGAGCACCAGAGGAAUUAAGAAUACAGUCGUCUUGUAUCCAGUGUCAUGGAUAGCUACUUAAAAUCUCCUGGACAGAGUUUGCAGAUAUAUAUUUUGAAAAUCUUACUCUCAGUAUUUAUUUCAACUCUUUCGGUAAAUUUUAGAGUUUAAAAAAAUAGAAGAAGAAGGAGAAGAAAACGGUGGCUCUCACUGCUGGAGCGAGGCGGAAGGAGCACGGGAAGAUGGCGCCGGCCCCCCGGCCUCCUCUAGGAAGGCACCUGUAGGUGCCCACACACCGGAUGCCUGUCCUCAGGCCGACGGGGCCAGACCAGCAAAUGACCCUCCUUCAGUCUGGACGCCUCUCCUUUAGCCGCUUGUGUGCUGGACCCUGGAGCAGCUUCUUACAUGUGAAGUGUGACUUUGGUUUUGCACGUGGAGGCAUUUUAAGGAGGGAGUAAUAAAUCCGCAUUGAAGUUAAAAUUCUGAAGUGCUAAAAGACGCUGAUGCUGGGAGGGAUUGGGGGCAGGAGGAGAAGGGGACGACAGAAGAUGAGAUGGCUGGAUGGCAUCACUGACUAGAUGGACGUGAGUCUGAGUGAACUCCGGGAGUUGGUGUUGGACAGGGAGGCCUGGUGUGCUGCGAUUCAUGGGGUCGAAAAGAGCUGGACACGACUGAGCGACUGAUCUGAUCUGAUCUGAAAGUUACCUGGAUUACAGAAACAUAACAUGUAGUAUCUGCAGAAAGUGAUUGCAAGAACAAGUGUUUUGAGACCUAAUUUCUGUAUUUCUACAACAGACAUGGCUGUUUUCAAGUUUCUCUCUGUGUGGUCUGCUUAAUUUUUCACAUGGGUGAAGGCAGUGACAUGGAUGCAUUUUGUUUAUUUGACCCCCAGUGUGUCAAUGGGUAAUACCUUUGAAAUUAGCAACACAAUGUGGAAAUCUUAGUGGAGACUGUGAUAGGUUAUCAGAAAUAUUUGGAGCCUGUAGCUUAUUGCUAUUUUUUUGGACAUUGAGUCUCAUCCCAUGCAAUUUCAGGUGACUCAGAUAUUAAGCCAAUACCUGUCAAAGGCCUCCUUGAAGAAAUGUUUUGUGAAGUCAGGGACUCCUUGUCUUGUUAUCAAUACUUGAUACUAACUGUGGCUAGUACUCAGAGGUACUCAGUAGAGUUAAUCACAUUUAAAUGGAGUGCUUUAAAGCAAACAUGUAGGCUUUUUUAAAAAAAUCAGAAUAUGUUUUAUUACUAAAACUUCUUUUAUUAUCCACUGUGUUUCUUUUUCUCCUUGUUAUCUAUUUUAUGUGCUAUCUGGAGGUAUAAUAAACCUUGGAUUAGUUGGCUAGCUUAAUUGAAAAAUGUUUUGAAAUGAAAAGUUAAAAAGCAAAACAAAAUAUAUUGAAAACCAUUUCCAUUCCAAUUUCUUCUGUUAGUUCAGUUGUAAGAAAUGGAGAACAAAAGCAUUACCAACCAAGGCUUUUAGCAGAAACAUAAUUGCUUACACAUCCAAAUACAUCAGCCAAGUUUGCUACACGCGAUUAGGCAGCCAAUUGUGUUGAAAAUGUGCUUGCUCAUUCAGAGGAGACCACACCCCAGGGCUCACUUACUUACAUCCUUAAGUUGGGUUAACACUAGCUCAUUCUCAUUAUCCACUUCUUGGAAAAUAUAAUGGGGCCACCAGUAGUAAGAAUCAUUUGGGUCCAAAUAAAAGACCUAAUGUCUUCAACUAACCCCACCUUGGUUAGGCCAGGAAAGUUUCAGUCUAGUCUUUCCUAAGAACUCAAGUAG
ensembl:lncRNA